rnacentral:rRNA from 1 species
AUUGAACGCUGGCGGCAGGCCUAACACAUGCAAGUCGAGCGGGGUUUUCGGACCUAGCGGCGGACGGGUGAGUAAUGCGUAGGAAGCUACCCGAUAGAGGGGAUACCAGUUGGAAACGACUGUUAAUACCCGCAUAAUGUCUACGGACCAAAGUGUGGGACCUUCGGGCCACAUGCUAUCGGAUGCGCCUACGUGGGAUUAGCUAGUUGGUGGGGUAAUGGCUCACCAAGGCGACGAUCCCUAGCUGGUUUGAGAGGAUGAUCAGCCACACUGGAACUGAGACACGGUCCAGACUCCUACGGGAGGCAGCAGUGGGGAAUAUUGGACAAUGGGCGCAAGCCUGAUCCAGCCAUGCCGCGUGUGUGAAGAAGGCCUCGGUU